GACAGAGGGUGCGAACGUUGUUCGGAAUUACUGGGCGUAAAGCGCAUGUAGGCGGCAGCGCAAGUCGGGCGUGAAAUCCCACGGCUCAACCGUGGAAGUGCACUCGAAACUGCGCAGCUAGAGUCCUGGAGAGGAAGGUGGAAUGCUUGGUGUAGAGGUGAAAUUCGUAGAUAUUGCGUAGAACACCAGUGGCGAAGGCGGCCACCUGGGAAGCAACUGACGCUGAGACGCGAAAGCGUGGGGAUCAAACAGGAUUAAGAUACCC
rnacentral:rRNA from 1 species